AGGGAUCAAGAAAGAUUCUUGAUUUCUUCAAAAAUUAAGAAAGAAAGAUUAAAAGGGUUUAUGAAUUGAUCUCUAUCCAGGCUUGGUUUAAGCCUACUCAGGCUUUCGGUUCAAGCAAGCAGGAUCCAAGAGAAAAUAAUUGAGGUCGGCCCUGUGGAUACCAGUUGAGAUAGGAUUUUUGUGCUACUGAUUCAGAGCCUGAUCAACCCC
rnacentral:lncRNA from 1 species